rnacentral:lncRNA from 1 species
GCUUGAUUAAAUUAUUUUAUGUCAGACUUGAGUGUGGUGGUGCCUUUAAUCCCAGUAGAGCUCUGACUGGUCUACACAGUAAAUUCCAGGACAGUCAGGGCUACACAGAGAUACCCAGUCUCAAACAACUAACAUUAUUUUAUAUUCUAUGUUAGUCUCUUUCGCUAUAACAAAAACAAAGAAACCUAUGAGGUAUACAAGGCAAAAAGAAUUUAUUUUGGCUUUUUUUUUUUUAAAGAGGUUUCAGGCCAUGCCUAUAGUUGUUUCUGGGCCUACAAUGAGAAAUCGUGGGGGGAGAAUGUGGGGGACGGGAACUGCUCAGCUGUGGUGGCUAGGGAAUAGGAGGACAGGGACAAGAUACUCUUUAAAAGCAAGACUCUCGCCAGGGCAGUGGUGGUGCAUACCUUUAAUCCCAGCACUCGGGAGGUAGAGGCAGGUGGAUUUCUGAGUUCGAGGCCAACCUGGUCUACAGAGUGAGUUCCAGGACAGCCAAGGGUACACAGAGAAAUCCUGUCUCAAAAAAACAAAAGCAAGAAAGACUCUCUGAAGAUCAUCAUGCCAGAGUUCAGAACGGUUACCACUUACUUGCCUGUGUUUGGGAGCCAAGAAAGAGAGGAUGAACUUUGCUGCUGUACUGUAGAAGCGAGGAAGCUCUCUCCUUUUUGAGCACCCCCUUUCCAUCCCGAGCAGCACCUCCCAAAUGUCCAGCAGAGACUCUUCUUCUUGACAGACUUACAGGUUUAGAGUUGAGCCAGUUGGUGGGCAAGAGAGAUCACACUGGACAAAGACUCGGGGUGCUGGGAACAACUGGACCAGUUCCCAAAUCUCCAGUCUAAAUCCUUUUUGGAUCCCACAGGACCCCACCACACUCCUUUCCCCCCCAUAAAGCUUAUCAACUACUCACACAAAUCCUUGUCCAGAGCAGCCUGUUGCUUAGAUUAUCGCCUAGCACUAAGCUGAGAUGAGAAUUAUCAACCGUUGCAUGUCUGGCCAUAGGAAAUCUUCCGUGGAAAUAAACUGCUUGGAUGGAGGUAGUGGGAAGGGCUAGGUAGGAAUGGGAGGAUUCUCUCGGGGAACAAAAAAGAUAAAUCUUAGGGAAUAGGCAGAUAUGUAUUUGGAGAAGCGGGGGAGAUCUGGACAUUAAGAAAAGUCUGUCACAAGAUGACUUAGAAGAUGAGGUCUAUACUAAGCAAAGACCCACUCUAGAUACUAAGUCAGAAACCUUAGGAGUGGAACCCAGCACAUAAGUCUUUAGCCUUUCAGAGGAUUUGGGGUGAACACUAAAGUGUGACAACCACUGUUGGUAAGGUACAAGGUCUAUCUAGGAUAAGUGUGGCUUCUCCUUUGCCAAGAAGUGGGGUAUCGUUCUGGAGAAAGAAAAUGAUCCUGAAUCAUGGGCAGCAUUUCCCCCUCCCCGUGCUGGCACCCCUACCCCCAGGGCUGCAUGGUCUCUGAGAAUCACAAGGCUACCCUUGACCUCAAGGUCCUCCUCAUUCAGUGCCAGGACUAUGACAUGUGCCUCCAUGCCCGACCAGUUAUGCUGUGCGUUUGCCAUCUCCAUGUUCCUGAUGAGGCGAAGAGAUGAGGAACCUGCUCAAGAGAAGACUCCGUGGGGUUGAGGUGGUGGGGGUGGGGAGAGGUCAGCAGGCACAGUGUGCAAUAGUAAAAGCUUUCGUGUGCGGUGCUGAGGGUUGAACCACUGAGUUGUACCCUCAGCCCUGGGAAAACCAUUUCUGAUGUGUUAUAACGGUGGGCUAACUGUGGGUGCCAGUGAUUGGAUACUUCAAAAAAGCUAGUAGGUUGGAUAUAUCCAACAGAAAGAAGUGAUAAAUAUGUGAGAAGAUAAUAUAUACUAUUACUCAAGUGUGAGGGUUUCAAUAAGAAUUAUGCCCCCCUCAUAUAUUUGAAUGCUUAGUCACCAGGAAGUGGCACUGUUUAAGAAGGAUUAGGAGGUGUGGCCUUGUUGAAAGAGGAAUGUCACUGGGGAUGGUCUUGGAGGUUUCAAAAAGCUCAUAGGAGACCCAGAGUGAUGUGAUGGUGGAGAUCUCUCUCUCUCUUGCUCUCUCGCUCUCUCGCUCUCUCGCUCUCUCUCUCUGGUUGUGGAUCAGGAUGUAUCUCUCAGCACUUCUCCAGCACCACACCUGCCUGCUUCCUUCCCCCCUCCCAACACCCGUGCCCUCUGCUGUGAUGAUAAUGGACUAAGCCUCUGAAACUGUAAGGAAGUCCCUAAUUAAAUGCUUUCUUUUAUAAGAGUUGCCUUGGUCAUGGUGUCUGUUCACAGCAAUGGAAGAGUGACUAAGACAUCUGGUAAGAUGAGUACACAUCGGAAUACUGGGCUGUUGAGCUGUGCAAGCCUGGUAGCCUGCAUAUCUGAUCUGAUCCUUGAAACUCAAAACGGAGAAAUAAAAUUUAAAUAUGCC